GGAAAAGAAGAGGACAACUAGAAGAGAGUUCCUACACCGCAAAGUAAACUUUGCUGGCUCUGCGAGGAGCAGGAAACCUGCAUGAUGAGAACAAGGACUGGGUGGCACUGCAGGAAAUGCUCAAUUCGAGUUUCACUUCCUGUGUUAUCACUUUUUCUUUGCUGCAAUUUCAUCUUUGUUGGUCAAUUCUCUUUUAAUUUUCCAUUUUUUUACAUUCUAUGUAAAUGUAGUUUUUAUGAACUAGAGAGUCUGACUCCAUAUUUUAUCUUUGACUACUGUCAGCUCUCAAGCCCCACCUCUUCCCUCCCCUUCUGUCCCACACCUGGAUGGCUGAUUCAAAAGCCCAGGUGCUUCCUCUUUUGGCUCUAAAGGCAAGUUCAAGCCAUGCAGGCCCCAGCAUGUGCAUUGGAGCCUUCAUUUCCCCCCCACUCCUUAACCUUAAUAACACCCAAAGCCAGUCUCUCUUCCCUGCUCUCAAGCCAUUUUUUUUUCUUCUUUUUCUGGAGACAGGGUCUUGUGUCACCCAGGCUGGCGUGCAGGGCCCUGAUCACAGCUGCCAGUAGCUGGAACCACGGGGGUGUGCCACCACGCCUGGCUAAUUUUUUAAUUUUUUUUUUGUAGAGAUGAGGAGUGCCACUGUGUUGCCCAGGCUGGUCUCAAAACUCCUGAGCUCAAGUGAUCCUCUCUUGGCUUGGCCUCCCAAAAUGCUGGGGUUACAGGCAUGAGCCAUUGCACCCAGCCUUAAGCUAUUUUUGAACCCAUUUGGGAUUCAUCCCUGUUCUCCCCAGAAAGCCUCAUGUGAGUCAUAAGCCUUUACAUAUUCUCUCUGUGCAUGUGGGGCUGUCACCAGUUUUGAAAAACCAGGUUUUGGGUGGGGAAUCUAUCUCGUAUCUUUGGGUAAUAUCACAGAUAAAUACAGCAGACAUUAACAUUUUAUUCAGUAACCACUGACAGUAGGGGAAAGAGCUGAGCUCCAUUCUGAUUUGUGCAGUGAUGAUCGGGCUUUUUUUCUUUUUUUGGUGGUUGGAUAUUUUAUACCUUUUUUUCCCCAAAUACUCUCCACUGAAUGUAGUCGACUGGUGAUUUUAAAGGGGGAAUGAGGGAGUAUGGAGGGGUAUGAGUUGGGGCUCAGUAGAGUUGGGGAUGUGAAAAAUUACAAGGGACCAGUGUAAAUGUGAUGAGGCCAGCGGUGUCUGCCUGCUGGCAAUGGUCAAAGUUAGAUUCCAUCCUCCCACAGAGACUGGGAGACAGAGGCCUUAUCUUUCCCAAUCACUACAUUUCAAAGCAAUGGCUCCUUGAGAAAGCAAUGUUCCUUGAGAAAGACACUUCUUAGCUGUAGGAGAUACACACUUGCAUACACAUACACAACAUGUGUAUCACAUAAACAUCUCAAAGGGACAGAGGACAGAUUCAUAAUUGUAAGUCCUUUUUAGUAAAUGCUCUUAAGAGAGGGCGGUCAGGAGCCUAUGGUCAGAUAUUGGCAAGAAUAGUAAGUUAUCCUGGCAGCACUGAGAUUUCUCAGGCAGGCAUUUUAAUGGUGGGGACAGGGGUCAUCCUGGGAACACAGGCUAUGCUACUAGAAGCCAUGCCAAUUUGUCUCUCAGUGCAGAGUUUCAGAUGGAGUUAUGGGGGGAGAGUUCUGCAGUUCUCAGUAACCACAACAGUAUAUAUCACUGGAAGAUGAAGCCCACACAACUACAGAUGUUACUGUUUCUGAGUGAGCCGAAUAACAAACUUACAGUGAGCAGUCACCAACAGACAGAAGUGAUGUGAUUGGUUACUGAUCAUGACAUGCAUUUGUUAUUAAUGUGAUGAUGUGUAGACUGAAGAGCUAGCAGCCUGCACUUUAUGCGAAAACUCACAGUUAAUAUACUGUGUACCUGAAAUUUGAGUUGUGUCGUUGGGGGACUGGUGUUAUUAAAUCAUGGUGACUGAAAUUCGUGCAUAUCAGAACUGUACCAAGCAAGGGCUGCCUGAUGAGUAUAAUGCUCUCAUGUUUUAUGGGAAUUUAUAUAAAUUUAAAAUAAUAUGAAUAAAUAUUUGAAAGUUGUAUGUUAUGCACAAGGUUUGAAAUAAUGCAAUUCUUUUAAUAUUUUAAAAAAUUGUUAGGACUCAGAUUUUCUUUUAUCUUUUCUUUUUUUUAAGGUACGGAGUCUCGCUCUGUCGCCCAGGCUGAAGUGUAGAGUGCAGUGGCAUGAUCUCAGCUCAUUGCAACUUCCACCUCCUGGGUUGAAGCAAUUCUUCUGCCUCAGCCUCCGGAGUAGCUGGGAAUACAGGUGCAGGCUGCCACGCCCGGCUCAUUUUUGUGUUUUAGUAGAGAUAGGGUUUCACCAUGUUGCCCAGGCUGGUCUCAACUCCUGAGCUCAGGCAAUCCUCCCGCCUUAGCCUCCCAAAGUGGUAGGAUUACAGGCGUGAGCCACUGCACCUGGCCCUCGACUCACAGAUUUUCAAAAUACUUUUGAACAGUAAGCUGAGGACAGUGUUUAUUAUGACUAUACUGGUCUCCUUUCACUAGCUCACAAAAUUUAACUACAUCACUUGUCAGUCUCCUAAAAAUGCAGUGUAUGUGCUUUGAAACUUGUGAAUGAUCUGCUGAUUUGUGCUAUUUUAUAUUCAAUGUUGUUGAAAGAAUAGUUUUUAAACCAAGUAAUGCAAAAAUUUAGUGUAACAUGAAUGCUUGUGCUGUAAAACAUACUGGAAAAUCAAUAGCUCUGGAAUAAACUUUGGAUUUUUAAUUAAAAUUGA
rnacentral:lncRNA from 1 species